UGUAUCACAAGUCCAGAAAAUGGAUGUUUGCGAGUGUGAGUAAGGUUGCAGGCCGAAGCGGAGCUGAGGCCUGCAAUACGAAUACUCGCAAAACAUUUUUAUGGACGUGUAAUACACAAGAUUUUUUGUGUCGAAGUAAAAAAUUUGAGGGAAAACGUUCAUUUUAAAAUUUAUAUUUCUACCUCGUAUAAUUAUAAGCCGUCAUACUUGCAUUCAAAUUUCCAAUAUUUCGAUGUUAUGUUGGUAGCACAGACAGUUGGCAGUUGGUAGCACAAGCAUGUCAAUUCAGUAAUUCACAACCGAUAUUUACCAGUGUUUAUUCAUUAAUUGUGAUUAAAUGAAUAAACAAAGCAUUACGUUAAUUUAAUUAUUAUUACAAAUUUCUAAAACGCUUAGGGCAGUCGUAAGAAGUUCAUAACAUUUAAAAGAAGCUGCGCUAAAACUAAUAAGUACUAGUGCUUGCACCUAUUUUGGGAAUUGGGUUGCAAUAUUUUCAUUUGCAAAUUGAUUUAUCAUAUUAAUUCCAUUACAUAUAAGAAUGAUAACAAGUUUGUUUGGAUAUCUACUUCUCGUUGGCUGUCGAUUACGAGGAGAGCAGCAAGAGGGCCGAUGAUUGCUUCGUGCAAAUCUACAAUUUGGUGUAUGCAUGCAGUGUCGUUUGAUUAUUAUGGUCUUACUACACGGAAGUAGGUAACUGAUGUCGGAAAUUUUCAUCAUAGAUAUGAGCAUAGAUAUCGACAAGAAACCGUUUUCAUAUGCGUACACCUCCUUUUCGGAAACUGUCAUCUUCAGAGAAAUAUACUUGCUUGUAGAUAUAUAAUUUAUGGAAUAAUGUAUACAGUUUAAUGUUAACAAUGGCAGAAAUAAUAAUAAUUACAAAUCAUAUAGUGUCAUUACUCUUCAUCCGUUUAGUGUUGUGUUUUUUGACUGCGUUAAUUUACAUGCGAAACCAUUUGUUGGCAUUCCUGGCAUCGAGUGUGGAAUGAUAUUUUUGCCGGCCUAGGCCAGCAAAUCAUAACUUUCUGGACUAAUUUGGCUACAGAAAACAAAGCUUUGAAGCAG